GGAUGUGAAGGCCAUCUGGCAGUGACAUCUGUCACCCCACUGAUCGCCAGUGUUGAUUUGGCUGAUCUGGCUGGCUAGGCGGAUGUUCCCUUCCUCCCUCACUGUUCCAUGUGCAUCCCUCCCAAAGUUGUGCUCUUUGGUCGAGGAGAUUGACCUUGCCCGACAGAGGAGGACCGUUCUUUGGUCAAGGGUAUAUGAGUAGCUGCGCUCCCCUGUUAGAACCUCCAAACAAGCUCUCAAAUAUUGUUCAUUCUAUCUGUCUAUCUACCCAUAUUGUUGUACCCAUUAAUCAU
rnacentral:snRNA from 1 species